AGUCGAACGAUGAAGCUGGAGCUUGCUCCGGCGGAUUAGUGGCGAACGGGUGAGUAACACGUGAGCAAUCUGCCCUUGACUCUGGGAUAACUGCGGGAAACUGUAGCUAAUACCGGAUACUUUCCUCGGUGGGCAUCCACUGAGGAAGAAAGAAUUUCGGUCAAGGAUGAGCUCGCGACCUAUCAGCUAGUUGGUGAGGUAAAGGCUCACCAAGGCGAUGACGGGUAGCCGGCCUGAGAGGGUGACCGGCCACACUGGGACUGAGACACGGCCCAGACUCCUACGGGAGGCAGCAGUGGGGAAUAUUGCACAAUGGACGAAAGUCUGAUGCAGCAACGCCGCGUGAGGGACGAAGGCCUUCGGGUUGUAAACCUCUUUUAGCAGGGAAGAAGCGAAAGUGACGGUCCCUGCAGAAAAAGCACCGGCUAACUACGUGCCAGCAGCCGCGGUAAUACAUAGGGUGCAAGCGUUGUCCGGAAUUAUUGGGCGUAAAGAGCUCGUAAGCGGUUUGUCCCGGCUGCUGUGAAAUUUCGAGGCUCAACCUCAAACUUGCAGUGGGUACGGGCAGGCUAAAGUGCAGUUGGGGGAAAUGGGAAUUCCUGGUGUAACCGGGGAAAUGCGCCAAAUUUCGGGGGGAACCCCAAUGGCGAAGGCCCAUCUCUGGGGUGUAACUGACCCUUAGGAAGCGAAAGCGUGGGGGAGGAACAAGGAUAAAAACCCCGGGUAGUCCCCCCCCUAAACCGUGGGGGGCUUAGCUGUGGGCCCCAUUCCCCGU
rnacentral:rRNA from 1 species